GGACGAACGCUGGCGGCGUGCUUAAUACAUGCAAGUCGAACGGAAAGGCCCUGCUUUUGUGGGGUGCUCGAGUGGCGAACGGGUGAGUAACACGUGAGUAACCUGCCCUUGACUUUGGGAUAACUUCAGGAAACUGGGGCUAAUACCGGAUAGGAGCUCCUGCUGCAUGGUGGGGGUUGGAAAGUUUCGGCGGUUGGGGAUGGACUCGCGGCUUAUCAGCUUGUUGGUGGGGUAGUGGCUUACCAAGGCUUUGACGGGUAGCCGGCCUGAGAGGGUGACCGGCCACAUUGGGACUGAGAUACGGCCCAGACUCCUACGGGAGGCAGCAGUGGGGAAUAUUGCACAAUGGGCGGAAGCCUGAUGCAGCAACGCCGCGUGCGGGAUGACGGCCUUCGGGUUGUAAACCGCUUUCGCCUGUGACGAAGCGUGAGUGACGGUAAUGGGUAAAGAAGCACCGGCUAACUACGUG
rnacentral:rRNA from 1 species